UGUUUUAUAAUUUUUUUUGCGUAAGCAGAUCAUCUAGAAGGCAAAAGGAGAAACUUCUUUUCCAACCAUCAUGCAAAGCUUAUGGGGCCACCCUUUACUCGUGGGCCUGCCACAAACUGUUUAGAAGCCGAGGGUGUGCACAAAAGUGUGGAGAUUAUGAUGGAAAUAUCGGUUAAAUAUUAGCGGAAUUUUUGGAAUUUUGAUUCAUUUUGCAGAAUAAACUUGAGAACUGCAUGGUUUUACGGAUAAAUUUUAAAUAAGCCGGACUAUUGGAUAGUUCUUCAGUGAAUACCUUUAAAUUUAACGUUGCUUAACAUAAUUAUGUGAAUUGAAAUUAAAAGAGCUGAAAAUGACAAUUUAUGUAAAUAAAGUGAGACAAUUUCUUAAGGAUUAUUUUGUGGAAUGUAUUGGGAUUAUUAUGACAUUAUGAAAAGUAUGUAAUUAUCUUGAGCAUUUUUUUAUGAGUAUUAUGAACAUGUUUCUUAUAUUAAUACACUGCUUUAGAGACAAUAACACCAUGAGCAUUUGUAAAAUUAUUAAUUUGUUAGAGAAAAUAAAAAUGGUAGUACAUGCUUCAAGAAAAAGACUAACUUAGCUACUUAUGAAGACAAUAACACCAUAUGUCAUUUCUUAUGCAUAGGAAUGAGAGGGAAAAAUAAAAUUGAGGAUAGGAAUUAGCGGGAAAAAAUAGAGGGAAACGUUUGUUCGUUUUUAAAAAAAAAUAUAUAUAUUUUCAGUUUUUAAAUCAUUUUUAAGAGUAAAAUGAGUUAACUACCCUCACAUGUUAUGCACAUGGUCUUACUUAACAAAAAUAUAGAUGGAAUAUAUGAAAAACUAACGCUAGGGGACAAAACAGCUAAAAAAAUUAGUUUGAGUCCUUAAUUUUACAAUAGAAAAAUUCAAAAGAAAAAUAAAAAACUAAUUGAAAAUUCAGGGAGUAAAUCGAUAAUUCACUCAAACUCUUUUAUCUUAUAUGCCUAUGGGAUCGUGCAACGGAAGCCCAGUGCCCACUCUCAGUCAGUCCCUCUCUUUUCUCUCAAAACCCACAAAAACGCCACCUUUUAAUUUCAAAGAAGCCACAUUUCCCCUCUUUCCCUUUACUUCUACAGAGGAGAGUCUAGGGUUUAACAAAUAUGUCUUCUGCUUCUAAGUUCCAAGCCCACCGUGGCCAUGGCCUUCCCCAUUUUUCAGUGCAGUCCUCCGAGACCUGCCAUGUUCAAGAAAGGUUCAGGGACAGUAAUGGCUGCUCGAAGGAACAUGAUCCCCUCAAACAUUGUAAAUGAAAGAUUUUCUCGUUAAAGGUACUGUUGUUGGGUUUAUGUAUUUGAAAUACAUAAAGGUUUGACAUAGGGAAUGAAGCCGAUUGGUCCGUGUAGCAUAGUUAGAAAUCUAAUAUUCACAAAUUGUUGUAAAGUGCCAUCACAUUGACAUACUUUUUUGGAUAGUAGAUUUGGUGCUGCAAUUUCUGGCUUUAGGCUUAUCGUAAUAAUUUGAUAUCUAA